rnacentral:rRNA from 1 species
AACGAACGCUGGCGGCAGGCCUAACACAUGCAAGUCGAGCGAGGACUUCGGUUCUAGCGGCGUACGGGUGAGUAACGCGUGGGAAUGUGCCCUUCUCUACGGAAUAGCCCGGGGAAACUGGGAGUAAUACCGUAUACGCCCUUUUGGGGAAAGACUUAUCGGAGAAGGAUCAGCCCGCUUUGGAUUAGGUAGUUGGUGGGGUAAUGGCCUACCAAGCCGACGAUGCAUAGCUGGUUUGAGAGGAUGAGCAGCCACACUGGGGCUGGGACACGGCCCAGACUCCUACGGGAGGCAGCAGUGGGGAAUCUUAGACAAUGGGGGCAACCCUGAUCUAGCCAUGCCGCGUGAGUGAUGAAGGCCUUAGGGUUGUAAAGCUGUUGCAGCUGGGAAGAUAAUGACGGUACCAGCAGAGGAAGCCCCGGCUAACUCCGUG